CCGAGAAUAUUCGACAAUGGGCGAAAGCCUGAUCGAGCGACACCGCGUGAUGGAUGAAGUCCCUAGGGACGUAAACAUCUUUUAUGAGGGAGAAAGUUUAUUGAUAGUACCUCACGAAUAAGGGGUUGCUAAACUCGUGCCAGCAGCAGCGGUAAUACGAGUGCCCCGAGCGUUAUCCGGAAUCAUUGGGCGUAAAGGGUGUGUAGGUGGCAGUGUUAGUCGUCUGUUAAAACCUGGGGCUUAACCCCAGAUGUGCGGACGAAACGGCACAGCUAGAGGAUGGCAGGGAUCUGUGGAACUCAUGGAGUAGGGGUGAAAUCCGUUGAUAUCAUGGGGAACACCAAAAGCGAAGGCAGCAGAUUGGGCCACUCCUGACACUGAAACACGAAAGCGUGGGUAGCGAAUGGGAUUAGAUACCCCCGUAGUCC
rnacentral:rRNA from 1 species